GAUGAACGCUGGCGGCGUGCCUAAUACAUGCAAGUCGAACGACGCGUGGACGCGUGUGUAACAUGUGUCUAACCUCCUAUAAGACUGGGAUUACUUCGGGAAACCGGUGCUAAACCGGCUACUUAUAGAUGGUUCCGCGAUGCAUUAGCUAGUUGGUAAGGUAACGGCUUACCAAGGCAACGAUGCAUAGCCGACCUGAGAGGGUGAGCGGCCACACUGGAACUGAGACACGGUCCAGACUCCUACGGGAGGCAGCAGUAGGGAAUCUUCCGCAAUGGGCGAAAGCCUGACGGAGCAACGCCGCGUGAGUGAUGAAGGUCUUCGGAUCGUAAAACUCUGUUAGUAGGGAAGCGGUACCUAAUCAGAAAGCAACGGCUAACUACGUGCCAGCAGCCGCGGUAAUAC
rnacentral:rRNA from 1 species